GAGAGUCUGACGGAGCAACGCCGCGUGAACGAAGAAGGCCUUCGGGUCGUAAAGUUCUGUUGUUAGGGAAGAACAAGUACCAGAGUAACUGCUGGUACCUUGACGGUACCUAACCAGAAAGCCACGGCUAACUACGUGCCAGCAGCCGCGGUAAUACGUAGGUGGCAAGCGUUGUCCGGAAUUAUUGGGCGUAAAGCGCGCGCAGGUGGUUCCUUAAGUCUGAUGUGAAAGCCCACGGCUCAACCGUGGAGGGUCAUUGGAAACUGGGGAACUUGAGUGCAGAAGAGGAAAGUGGAAUUCCAAGUGUAGCGGUGAAAUGCGUAGAGAUUUGGAGGAACACCAGUGGCGAAGGCGACUUUCUGGUCUGUAACUGACACUGAGGCGCGAAAGCGUGGGGAGCAAACAGGAUUAGAUACCCCCAGUAGU
rnacentral:rRNA from 1 species